GUCCACGCCGUAAACGAUGUACGCUAGAUCGGUGCGGUUUUGACGCCGUAUCGGUCGACGUGAAAACGAUAAGCGUACCGCCUGGGGAGUACGGUCGCAAGGCUAAAACUCAAAUGAAUUGACGGGUGCUCACACAAGCGGUGGAGCAUGUUGCUUAAUUCGAGGCAACGCGAAGAACCUUACCUGGGCUUGACAUAGCCGGAUUAACUCUUUGAAAGAGGAGCAAGGCCCGCAAGGGUACAACGGUUACAGGUGCUGCAUGGCUGUCGU
rnacentral:rRNA from 1 species